rnacentral:rRNA from 1 species
UCUCGCGUCAAGAUAUGCCUAGGUGGGAUUAGCUAGUUGGUGAGGUAAUGGCUCACCAAGGCGACGAUCCCUAGCUGGUCUGAGAGGAUGAUCAGCCACACUGGAACUGAGACACGGUCCAGACUCCUACGGGAGGCAGCAGUGGGGAAUAUUGCACAAUGGGCGCAAGCCUGAUGCAGCCAUGCCGCGUGUAUGAAGAAGGCCUUCGGGUUGUAAAGUACUUUCAGCAGUGAGGAAGGGGGUGUCGUUAAUAGCGGCAUUUCUUGACGUUAGCUGCAGAAGAAGCACCGGCUAACUCCGUGCCAGCAGCCGCGGUAAUACGGAGGGUGCGAGCGUUAAUCGGAAUUACUGGGCGUAAAGCGCAUGCAGGUGGUUUGUUAAGUCAGAUGUGAAAGCCCGGGGCUCAACCUCGGAACUGCAUUUGAAACUGGCAAACUAGAGUACUGUAGAGGGGGGUAGAAUUUCA